UACGAAGGGAGCUAGCGUUGUUCGGAAUCACUGGGCGUAAAGCGCACGUAGGCGGAUGUGUCAGUCAGGGGUGAAAUCCCCGAGCUCAACUCGGGAACUGCGUCCGAUACUGGCGGGCUUGAAUCCGGGAGAGGGAUGCGGAAUUCCAGGUGUAGCGGUGAAAUGCGUAGAGUAUCUGGAGGAACACCGGUGGCGAAGGCGGCGAUCCCUGGACCGGU
rnacentral:rRNA from 1 species